AUGAUAUCGGUCAAUAGGGCCCUUCUUGAUCUGGGGCGCCUUGCUUUCCGUCGACCGUUUGGGCCGGCGGAAUCCGCCGCCUGGCGUGAGUUGCUUGAUUGCGUCGCGUUGCCUGAGCCAUUGGUGGAUGACAGGUCGGACCAUAUCCGGUGGCGGCUGGAGUCGUCGGGCCUGUUCUCCACCAAGUCGCUCUACUCGGCCAUUGCCCCUUCCUCCGCCCCCCUCCCCUUAUCGAUGGUUUGGGCCGUCCGCGUGCCACUGAAGAUUCGCAUCUUCAUGUGGCAAUGGAUCCGUGGUAGGGUUCCGUCCGGUGUGGAGGUCCGCAAGCGUAAUGGCCCGGGCACCGGUAUCUGCCCGCUCUGUGGCGUCCCUGAGGACUCUAAUCACAUCUUCUUCUCCUGCGUUUCCGCCCAAUUUCUCUGGAGCUGCUUUCGUGAGGUGGUCGGCGGUACUUGGUGCCACAUCAACUUCCCGGACCUAUUUGCUGAACUCCAGCUGUCCCCCGUGUCCUCUCGUCACAUUAGGUGGCUUGAGGUUGGGGUGCUCGCGUGGACUCUAUGGACCGUUCGCAAUAAACUUGUGAUCCAGCACGCUCCCCUUCGUCGCGCUACUGACGUCCUCUACAAAUUCUCGGGUUUCUUGCAGCUCUGGCGGCCGCUUAGCCGCCCCCCGGACCGUGACGCCAUCUCCGCCUUCAUCGCCGACAUCCGAUCGAUGGCAGUCCGUCUUUCUCCGCCGCCGGAGCCUGAUUAG
rnacentral:rRNA from 1 species